GACGAACGCUGGCGGCGUGCUUAACACAUGCAAGUCGAACGGUGACGCGCCUUCCUUUUUGGUGGGUGUGGAUGAGUGGCGAACGGGUGAGUAACACGUGAGUAACCUGCCCCCUUCUUCUGGAUAACCGCAUGAAAGUGUGGCUAAUACGGGAUAUUCUGGGUCUGUCGCAUGAUGGGUCUGUGAAAGAUAUUGUUUCGGUGUGGGAUGGGCUCGCGGCCUAUAAGCUUGUUGGGGGGGUGAUGGCCUACCAAGGCGGCGACGGGUAGCCGGCCUGAGAGGGUGGACGGUCACACUGGGGAUGAGACACGGGGCCGACUCCUACGGGGGGCAGCAGAGGGGAAUAUAGCACAAUGGGGGCAAGACUGAUGCAGCGACGCCGCGUGAGGGAUGGAGGCCUUCGGGUUGUGAACCUCUUUCGCCAGUGAAGCAGGCCUGCCUGGUUUGUGGGUGGGUUGACGGUAGCUGGAGAAGAAGCGCCGGCUAACUACGUG
rnacentral:rRNA from 1 species